rnacentral:rRNA from 1 species
AUUGAACGCUGGCGGAAUGCUUUACACAUGCAAGUCGAACGGCAGCACGGGGCAACCUGGUGGCGAGUGGCGAACGGGUGAGUAAUACAUCGGAACGUGCCCAAUCGUGGGGGAUAACGUAGCGAAAGUUACGCUAAUACCGCAUACGUCCUGAGGGAGAAAGCGGGGGACCGUAAGGCCUCGCGCGAUUGGAGCGGCCGAUGUCGGAUUAGCUAGUUGGUAGGGUAAAGGCCUACCAAGGCGACGAUCCGUAGCGGGUCUGAGAGGAUGAUCCGCCACACUGGGACUGAGACACGGCCCAGACUCCUACGGGAGGCAGCAGUGGGGAAUCUUAGACAAUGGGCGCAAGCCUGAUCUAGCCAUGCCGCGUGAGCGAUGAAGGCCUUAGGUUGUAAAGCUCUUUUCGUGGGGAAGAUAAUGACUGUACCCCAAGAAGAAGCCCCGGCUAACUCCGUG